rnacentral:rRNA from 1 species
UACGAAGGGGGCUAGCGUUGCUCGGAAUCACUGGGCGUAAAGGGUGCGUAGGCGGCGCGGUAAGUCGGGUGUGAAAUCUUGGAGCUUAACUCCGAAACUGCAUUCGAUACUGCCGUGCUUGAGGACUGGAGAGGAGACUGGAAUUUACGGUGUAGCGGUGAAAUGCGUAGAUAUCGUAAGGAAGACCAGUGGCGAAGGCGGGUCUCUGGACAGUUCCUGACGCUGAGGAGCGAAAGCGUGGGGAGCAAAAGGG